CCACUUGAUGGGGUAAGGCUCCCAGUAGACGACUGGGUUGAUAGGCCGGAUCUGGAAGCACGGUAACGUGUGGAGGUGACCGGUACUAAUAGGCCGAGGGCUUGUCCUC
rnacentral:ncRNA from 1 species